rnacentral:rRNA from 1 species
CCUACGGGAGGCAGCAGUGGGGAAUAUUGGACAAUGGGCGCAAGCCUGAUCCAGCCAUGCCGCGUGUGUGAAGAAGGCCUUCGGGUUGUAAAGCACUUUUAUCCGGAAAGAAAAGCUUUGGGUUAAUACCCUGAAGUCAUGACGGUACCGGAAGAAUAAGCACCGGCUAACUUCGUGCCAGCAGCCGCGGUAAUACGAAGGGUGCAAGCGUUACUCGGAAUUACUGGGCGUAAAGCGUGCGUAGGUGGUUUGUUAAGUCUGAUGUGAAAGCCCUAGGCUCAACCUGGGAAUUGCAUUGGAUACUGGCAGGCUAGAGUGCGGUAGAGGAUAGUGGAAUUCCCGGUGUAGCAGUGAAAUGCGUAGAGAUCGGGAGGAACAUCUGUGGCGAAGGCGACUAUCUGGGCCAGCACUGACACUGAGGCACGAAAGCGUGGGGAGCAAACAGGAUUAGAUACCCUGGUAGUCCACGCCCUAAACGAUGCGAACUGGAUGUUGGGUGCAACUAGGCACUCAGUAUCGAAGCUAACGCGUUAAGUUCGCCGCCUGGGGGAGGUACGGUCGCGAGACGAGAAACGUACAAAUAGAAGUUAGUACGGACGUGAGACGNGCCGACGGACGACGACGAGGGGAGGAGGG